ACGACCAUCGGACUAAAGACGUGGCACUGAGUCAGAUUGGCAGGCACUCCUUUCAGAUGGUUUUUAUCUGUGGGACUAUCGUGCAUAUUUGGUCUAGCGAUUUCAUUCUGUGUUGUCCUGUAGGAGGUCAAUUUCUGCCAUGGAUUUACAGUGCUUGGCAUAGUAACCAAGCUAUUGACAGUUGUAACUAAUCUUUGUUAUAUGGGACAAGCAUUCGAAACUGCUCGGAACAGUGGGGCUAUUGAUUUUUAUGCUUGGAGGGGCCAUGUCUCAGCAGUUUACCAGCAAACCUAAGCCUGUGAAAGAAGUAGAAGCCAAAGAGAACGAGGAGGAACAGCGCCAGCUACUCGAGAUCCAAUCUAGCAAACAAAGCUCCGGUUCUGGUGAGGAGAAAUGAGAUUUUUCAUGCUUCUGUGUCUGAAAAUGUCAUGAUGGAUCGUCCCACACUCCAUAGAUUCGUCUGAGCAGCGAUGCUUCGACAGAUUUUCCAGAGUCAGUAGUUAGAUUGGUCCGAGCGGUUUAAGCUGCUUUGCCAGCCUUCAUUUGGAAGAGUUUCGCCACAGAUUCGGACACUGCAAAGACGUACCAAAUGGAUGAUCUCCAAUGGAACUCAUUUCUGGAAAGACAAUUUCAUAGGAAGCCCCUUAAGUAAACCUUACUCAAGGCCACCUACGCCGCAAUGAAGAAGUGCUGCUUGUCAAAGAUGUUCGACACAGACGGAAAAAUGGCACCUUGACGGAAAAUGCUUGAAGCACUAGCAGUCUUUGAUCUGUGAGUCUUCUUUGCGGAACAAUGCCAGAGUGCAGUUUUGACAGAUUAAGCCUUUCUUCAAACGUCCAACCUUAGCUCAAUCUAAGUAGAUGCUAGAAUUUCUGAUUA